rnacentral:rRNA from 1 species
UACGUAGGGUGCGAGCGUUGUCCGGAAUCAUUGGGCGUAAAGAGCUCGUAGGCGGCCUGUCGCGUCGGAUGUGAAAACCCGGGGCUCAACCUCGGGCCUGCAUUCGAUACGGGCAGGCUGGAGUUCGGCAGGGGAGACUGGAAUUCCUGGUGUAGCGGUGAAAUGCGCAGAUAUCGGGAGGAACACCAGUGGCGAAGGCGAUCACCUGGGGUUGAACUGACGCUGAGGAGCGAAAGCUAGGGGAGCAAACGGG